rnacentral:tRNA from 1 species
GCCUGGUUCGUGCAGUAGGUAGCGCGUCAGUCUCAUAAUCUGUAGGUCGUGAGUUCAAUCCUCACACAGGGCA